GUGAGGAAUUUUCCGCAAUGGGCGAAAGCCUGACGGAGCAAUGCCGCGUGAAGGAUGAAGGCCUAUGGGUUGUAAACUUCUUUUCUCAGAAAAGAAUUAUGACGGUAUCUGAGGAAUAAGCAUCGGCUAACUCUGUGCCAGCAGCCGCGGUAAGACAGAGGAUGCAAGCGUUAUCCGGAAUGAUUGGGCGUAAAGCGUCUGUAGGUUGUUUAAAAAGUAUUCUGUCAAAGAUUAGGGCUUAACCCUAGAUAGGCAGAAUAAACUUUUAAGCUAGAGUUUGGUAGAGGCAGAGGGAAUUCCCGGUGGAGCGGUGAAAUGCGUAGAUAUCGGGAGGAACACCAAAGGCGAAGGCACUCUGCUGGGCCAAUACUAACACUGAGAGACGAAAGCGAGGGGAGCAAAUGGGAUUAGAAACCCGUGUAGUC
rnacentral:rRNA from 1 species